rnacentral:lncRNA from 1 species
UAUAAUAUUUUAGGAUGGGAGGAGGCAGUCCAAGCCUUUGAGACACUCGCAUUUCUUGCCAAUCUAGCAACGUUAGUCGUUAUUGGACUAAGAUUUACUGUUAUGAAAGAACAGAAGAUAUUGCCAAUUGGAAUCAUUUUAUUUCAGUUUGCUUCAGGUUGUAUAUGUAACAUUUAGAUAGUCGAAAAAUAUACUUACUGAUCCUUUCUAGUUAAAAAAAACCCCACUGACAUGUAUUUUUUUGUUUGAACUAACACUUAACAGACAAUCUUAAAAGUUUAUAUACAUAUUUCGAUCUGAAAAAGCUCUGUAUUCAACUAUAUACACAAAUUACAAUUAACAUUGUUGAGCUUUCAGUUAUUAUUCGUGAUUUGUGUUACUUUAAGCUUUGUAUUUUUCUUGUAAAUAAGUUUUAAGUUUGCUCUGAUUGUUUUUCAUAUUUUCGUCCCCGAGGGUAUCACCAGCCCAGUAGUCAACACUUUGCUUUGACAUGAAUAUCAUAAUGUGGUCAUUUUUAUAAAUUUCCUUUUAACAAAACUUUAGAAUUUCGAAAAAACUAAGGAUUUUUAUCCAGGCAUAGAUACCUUAGCCGUAUUUGGCACAAUUUUGGAAUUUUGGAUCCUCAAAGCUCUUCAACUUGAACUUGUUUGGCUUUAUAAAUAUUUGAUUGAGCGUCCACUUGAGUCUUGUGUAGAUGAAACGCGCGUCUUGCGUACUUAAUUAUAUAUCUUGUACCUUUGAUAACUAUUCAUGCUAAACAUUGGCAGAUUGGUCAUAUUUUACUUCAUUAACUAACUGCUUUCGUUUAGGUUAAAUUGGGAUGAUCACAUAAACAGUAUCAUAACAUUAUCUUAAUAAGUGAACAGAGGUAAAGCUAUCAACGAACUGCCUAACGCAUUUGUUUGGUUUUUAUAGAUUUAGAUGGUUGAUAACUUUAUAAGGUCAUUGAUUAAGUCAAUCCUUUGUGCACAUAAAUAAAAUGUUCCGUAUUUGUCAACUAGUAAUUUAAAUGUAUUCACUGACCAAUUUAUAAAAGAUGGUCUAAACUGUGUUCUUCAUUGGCAAAACUUUUUGGAAUUUUGGAUCUUCAAUGCUCUUCAACUUUUGACUUUUUAAGCUUUAUAAAUAUUUUGAUAUGAGCGUUACUGAUGAGUCUUAUGUAGACGAAACGCGCGUCUGGCGUACUAAAUUAUAAUCCUGGUAGCUUUGAUAAUCUCUGUCUUCCUUACUAUUUUUUUCAUUUUUCUAUUUUCUCUAUUGAUUAUUCUCCUUUUUCAAUUGUAUUGGCAUAUUUUCUUUAUUCUUAUUUUCCCCUUUAUUCCCCUUCAUUUUAUUUUUUUUACAACUUAUUUAAUUUUUUAUAAACCCCAAUCCAUUACUCCAUACAAUACAAUACAAUACAAUAGGCUUUAUGUAGAUUGGUUUCAUUUCCAAAUACACACCGCAAAUGUUGCUUAUACGUCACCCAAAAUGACCACAGCAAAACAAUAACAAUGAAUCAUAACGCACCAAGAUUGAAUGCAAUUUCAGAAUCUAAUCGACCUGGGUAAUAUUCAGAUAAAAAAUAACGUAUAUCAAAACUUUGUGAUUGGUUAAAACGUCACCAACAAUGAAAAUUCAACCAAUGACGUACCGUUUUUUUCCAUUUUGGUGAACAAACAAUUAGGUUGCUCAUAGUCCUUAGACUAUGAAAAUGCGUAAUUAUUUUCAAAUCAAAAGAGAUACCACGGUUACCAAUUUUAAAAUUGUUUUGUUUUUUCUUUAUUUGAAUAAAUAAAUAACGUAUACAAAUCUUUUAUUUCAGUUGGUCUUAUCCUUCUAGGUGUGAUCAUAUAUGGUGUCAAAAGCCCUUUAACUAGCUAUGGAUUCGCGUUUGUUUUUGAGAUUAUAUCUGCGAACAUGAUUCUUGUUGCUGGUAUCUUCAGUGUCUUGGAUUGGAGAGGCACUUCUUUACCUGCAGUUAAACAAUAGUACAAUCGAAAUACGAAUUGCAAGUUGCAUUUAUUGAUAUUGCUACUGAACUUUCGUGUAUAUUGUUUUUUUCCUAGUACUAUAUAUUGUUAAAAUAAAAAUACUGUUAAUGUUAAUCCUACUAUUACAAACUAGGUUAAUUGUAAGAGAUAGACAUACUCACCAACUAACCAUGAAUGUUUUACAAGAGUGCAUUUCUUUCCAAAAAAGUUUUGUAAGCGUUGUGUGCUGUUUUCUAUAGUUUGUUAAGUGUUACAAAACUAGAAACAAAUUCAUCGAUUAAUCAUUGUUUACUGGCCCUGUUUGAACCGUCAAAAACGUAAACAAACUUAUUAAGCGGGUAAAUAGCUUCUAAAGAUUUUUUUUUAGACACACAGGACUUCUGUGCAUGUCUAAUUUUAUUGUCAGUUCUUCGUCAUCAUCAGAUGAAUGUAAAAUAGCAGCACCGAAAGAAAGGAGAACAUACACCUAAUAUACACCUAAUAUAUCUAAAUUUGAGUAAUUGUUGUCAUUGUUUUGAGUUAUGACACUCAAGAUUAUACCUCUUUUUCUUUCCUCAGAAUCAAUCCUUUUUUUUUAAUUGGCAGAAUAUGAAUAAAUAAUUGAUUCAAUGUUAAAGUUUGAAGGAAAUGCAGCGUAUGUUCGAAGAAACGACGAACGACAAAAUGUAGACUGAUUUUUAGUGAGUGUAGUUUGUCAAAUUUUAUGCAAACUUUGCAAACGUAUGUUGGAAAUAUACGUGUGCUCGCUGAACCUUUUGUAUCGUUUAUGUUAGAAACAAAUGCAAUCUUUAUAUACCAAACUAUUGUCAUUCAAGGAUGUUAGGUUGAAUGUCAAGUUUUUGGAUUUUUGUCAGAUCUUCGGAAUCUUCUGGUUUUAUCUAUUUUAAUACAAUAACUAUUUUUGCAAAUUGACCCCUAUUUUUCUUUUUAUAUAUCUUUUAAAUGUAUAAUGAUAAGCCAUCAGUAAAAUUCUCAUAAAAAUUGUAAUUAUUCUUUAAUAGGUUUUGAGAACUUUAACUUUAACAAGAGAGAACAUUUUCCCGCCAAAACUUCAAUGGCUGAUAUCCCGACAACAAAACACAUUGACCUAUAUAUAUAUUUUUCUUUUGAUUCUUUUAUACUUCUUAUUAUUUUGAAACUUAAUAGCGAACUCCCUUCAAAAACAUAGUGAAUGAUAGGAUUUUAUAUUCUUUGGUGUGUGGCUACGGCCUGCAAGAAAAAAAAACAUCCUUUUGUUAUUUUAUCAUUAAAGAGAACCCCAAUAUUUUCAUAUUUUUUUUAAAAGACAUCACGUUUUAACUUAAGAGCCAUGAAAGCUCAUAAAAAAGCUUUAAAAAACUAACAACUUUAACAUCAGUCAGUUAAAUUAUUAUUAUUUUGUUUAUAAGUAUUUAUGAAAAACAUGUCUGACG